UUAGGAGCUGGAAUGAAUGAGGCGACGAAAUCUAGACUAUUUAAGUUUUAAUAUAAAUUGACAAGCGGGUCAAAAGGCUCGCAUGGACCAGGGGGACGAUAAGACCCUAUAAAACUUUACUUUCAGGCCGGUGCCUAAAAGGAAGGGAGGUGUCUGAGAGUUUUACUGGGGCGGUUAUUAUAUAAACAAUUAUAUAUAAAAUAUAUUAUAUAGAUUAGUAGAACUCUCUAGAGAAAUAGAACAAGUUACUUUAGGGAUAACAGCGUGAUCCCCCCAGAGAGUCCAGAUCGGCGGGGGGGCUUACGACCUCGAUGUUGAAUUGGGAAUCCCUGUGUAAGCAAAUAUAUAUAUAGAUAGUCUGUUCGACUAUUAAACUCCC
rnacentral:rRNA from 1 species